CAAUGUUACAGCUCUUUUAGAAUUUGUCUAGCAGGUUUUCCAGUCUUCACCGUAAGACCCCC
rnacentral:snRNA from 1 species